GAUGAACGCUGGCGGCGUGCCUAACACAUGCAAGUCGAACGGAGCUGCUUUGAUGAAGUUUUCGGAUGGAUUUAAAGCAGCUUAGUGGCGGACGGGUGAGUAACGCGUGGGUAACCUGCCUUAUACAGGGGGAUAACAGUUGGAAACGACUGCUAAUACCGCAUAAGCGCACGGUAUCGCAUGAUACAGUGUGAAAAACUCCGGUGGUAUAAGAUGGACCCGCGUCUGAUUAGCUUGUUGGUGAGGUAACGGCCCACCAAGGCGACGAUCAGUAGCCGGCCUGAGAGGGUGAACGGCCACAUUGGGACUGAGACACGGCCCAAAACUCCUACGGGAGGCAGCAGUGGGGAAUAUUGCACAAUGGGGGAAACCCUGAUGCAGCGACGCCGCGUGAGUGAUGAAGUAUUUCGGUAUGUAAAGCUCUAUCAGCAGGGAAGAUAAUGACGGUACCUGACUAAGAAGCACCGGCUAAAUACGUGCCAGCAGCCGACGG
rnacentral:rRNA from 1 species